AAUUAUCGUAAUUUUAUGCAGUCAAAUUGUUUUUCAGUGUCAGAGGUAAAAAAUUUCUUUUUACUUCUGACACUGAAAAACAAUUCAGUUGUUGGUUCGGUCAGUUAUCGUUUUAGUUUUUCCAAAAAAAAAAAAAAAAAAAAAAAUGAUCAUAAUCUGUUAUGGCAGUGGUGGGAGAGUUAAGCCACUUGAGAUGGGGAGAAAUGAUCAGUGGAUCAACUCUCCUCACUGUUGCUCAGGAAGAGCCCAAUACUUUUAUUAUUAACUAUUUUAUUUUAAUUUUUAGGAAGAGAUGCGAGAACUUUUUGUCCCGAAUGUACAGACAGGUAGGCGGAGCUACGCCAGAAAUUCACUUCACAUUUUAUUAUUAUUUUUGAUUUUGCAGGUUUUUCUUUCUAU
rnacentral:lncRNA from 1 species